rnacentral:rRNA from 1 species
UACAGAGGUCCCGAGCGUUGUUCGGAUUUAUUGGGCGUAAAGGGUGCGUAGGCGGCGGAGUAAGUUGGGUGUGAAAUCCCGGGGCUCAACCUCGGAAUGGCAUUCAAUACUGCUUUGCUAGAGUACUGGAGAGGAGGCUGGAAUUUACGGUGUAGCAGUGAAAUGCGUAGAUAUCGUAAGGAAGGCCGGUGGCGAAAGCGAGCCUCUGGACAGUUACUGACGCUGAUGCACGAAGGCCAGGGGAGCAAACGGG